GAUGAACGCUGGCGGCGUGCUUAAUACAUGCAAGUCGAACGGAAAGGUCCUGCUUUUGUGGGGUUCUCGAGUGCCGCACGGGUGAGUAACACGUGAGUAACCUGCCCUUGUCUUUGGGAUAACUUCUGGAAACUGGGGCUAAUACCGGAUAGGAGCUCCUGCUGCAUGGUGUGGGUUGGUAAGUGUCGGCGGUUGGGGAUGUACUAGCGGCUUAUCAGCUUGUUGGUGUGGUAGUGGCUUACCAAGGCUUCGACGGGUAGCCGGCCUGAGAGGGGGACCGGCCACACUGCUACUGAGGGAAGGACCAGCCUCGAAAGGGAGGCAAUAGCGGAGAAUAUGGCACAGUGGGAGGGAGACAGAUACAACAACGACGCGAGCGGGAUGAGGUCCUUUGAGGGGAAAACCGCUUUCUCCUGUGACGUAGAGUGAGUGACGGUAAUUGAUAAGGAAGCACGGGCUAACUACGUG
rnacentral:rRNA from 1 species